rnacentral:rRNA from 1 species
UACGUAGGGUGCAAGCGUUGUCCGGAAUUAUUGGGCGUAAAGAGCUCGUAGGCGGUCUGUCGCGUCGGCUGUGAAAUCCCGAGGCUCAACCUCGGGUCUGCAGUCGAUACGGGCAAACUUGAGUGUUGCAGGGGAGACUGGAAUUCCUGGUGUAGCGGUGAAAUGCGCAGAUAUCAGGAGGAACACCGGUGGCGAAGGCGGGUCUCUGGGCCGUAACUGACGCUGAGGAGCGAAAGCAUGGGGAGCGAACAGG